CUGGCUCAGGACGAACGCUGGCGGCGUGCUUAACACAUGCAAGUCUACGAGAAAGGGGUAGCAAUAUCCCGAGUAAAGUGGCGCACGGGUGAGUAACACGUAAGUAAUCUACCUUUAGGUUCGGAAUAACUCCGAGAAAUCGGAGCUAAUACCGGAUGAUGCAGCGGAUCCACAUGGAUAUGUUGUUAAAGUCUAUACGACGCCUAAAGAUGAGCUUGCGGCCGAUUAGCUAGUUGGUAGGGUAACGGCCUACCAAGGCGACGAUCGGUAGCUGGUCUGAGAGGAUGAUCAGCCACACUGGAACUGAGACACGGUCCAGACUCCUACGGGAGGCAGCAGUGAGGAAUAUUGGGCAAUGCCCGAAAGGGUGACCCAGCAACGCCGCGUGGGAGGGAUGAAGGGUCGUAAGAUUGUAAACUCCUGUUAGAGGGGGACGAAUAACACCGAUUGACUCGGGUGCUUGACUGUACCCUCAGAGAAAGCCCCGGGCUAACUACGUGCCAGCAGCCG
rnacentral:rRNA from 1 species